UACGUAGGGUGCGAGCGUUAAUCGGAAUUACUGGGCGUAAAGCGCACGCAGGCGGUCUCUUAAGUUUGGAGUGACAGUUGGUGGCUUAACUGCCAAAGUGCUUCGAAAACUGAGAGACUUGAGGGCUUCAGAGGGACACGGAAUUCCGGGUGGAGUGGUGAAAUGCGUAGAGAUCCGGAGGAACACCAAAGGCGAAGGCAGUGUCCUGGGGAGUACCUGACGCUCAGGUGCGGAAAGCCAGGGGAGCGAACGGG
rnacentral:rRNA from 1 species